UUUGUAGGUGGCCACUUAAGUCAGACGUGAAAUCCCUCAGCUUAACUGGGGAACUGCGUCUGAUACUGGAUGGCUUGAGUGCAGGAGAGGAAUGCGGAAUUCCAGGUGUAGCGGUGAAAUGCGUAGAUAUCUGGAGGAACACCGGUGGCGAAGGCGGCAUUCUGGACUGUAACUGACACUGAAAAACGAAAGCCAGGGAGCAAACG
rnacentral:rRNA from 1 species